AUGUUGCAUAUCUUAAAGGUACCAAGGCAAUGUCAAAGUAGGCUAACACUUCAUCUCAGAGCUAGGGCUGGAGCCACUCGGCUGUCCCAUUCUACUUCGGGCAGGAAAUGCAACUAUGUGAACCCACCAUCCCUGCAGUACACCUGCCCUAUAGCUAAUACCGUGCUAAAUCUAUCAAUAGAACACAUCCAUAAAAUCAGCUUACAACACAUCUCAAAGGUACCCAGGCAAUGUGGGACUCUGCUCAUGCCUAGUGCCAACUUUUUAUGCAAUUAG
rnacentral:lncRNA from 1 species